rnacentral:lncRNA from 1 species
UAACAAACAAACCUAAACACCCAAGGAUUCUACAUCAACCCUGAUACCGCUUGUCAAACAAUUCCAUUACAAGUAGGACACUCUUUAUAAAUAGAAAUUCCCUUGGAUAAAAACAUCCAACCAACACAAUCCUACUAGGAGUACACUACCUACCCCUAUAAAAGCAGAACCUUGGGCCAUUAUUCAGGUACGUUUUUCAUUGUUCUUCAGCACAUAGCCUCACGCUUAUAUUUCCCUUUCUGACUUAAGCAUCGGAGGGACGACGAGAACAUACCUCGUUGCCUUUGUUUCAGGUACCGGAAGAUCGCUAUCGUGAUCAACCCGAAUCAUCAAGCUCGGAAAAUCAGCAGGUACGAUUUUUGGUAUCAUCAUUGGCGUCGUCUGUGGGAGACGCUACCAAAAGCCAUGGUAAACACACGUUCAGGUCUUCCACCAGCAAGCUCAUCCGCUCCAAACCAACCCCCUCCUGAGGAUAUCCCUGUUCCUCAAGAGGAAUCAUCAGAAGUGCCAGAGCCCCAGCCGGCAGUCGUCACUGCUGGAGCCUUUGAAGAACUCAGACAACA